rnacentral:rRNA from 1 species
CCUACGGGUGGCAGCAGUGAGGAAUAUUGGUCAAUGGGCGGGAGCCUGAACCAGCCAAGUCGCGUGAGGGAAGACGGUCCUAUGGAUUGUAAACCUCUUUAGGCGGGGAGCAAUGCCGGGCACGCGUGCCCGGAGGGAGAGUACCCGCAGAAUAAGCAUCGGCUAACUCCGUGCCAGCAGCCGCGGUAAUACGGAGUAUGCGAGCGUUAUCCGGAUUUAUUGGGUUUAAAGGGUGCGUAGGCGGAGUUUUAAGUCAGCGGUAAAAGGUCCGGGCUCAACCCGGGCCGGCCGUUGAAACUGGUGAUCUUGAGUGGGCGAGAAGGAUGCGGAAUGCGUGGUGUAGCGGUGAAAUGCAUAGAUAUCGCACAGAACUCCGAUUGCGAAGGCAUCACACGAAUCCGCGAUUGACGCUGAUGCACGAAAGCGUGGGUAUCGAACAGGAUUAGAUACCCGGGUAGUC